rnacentral:rRNA from 1 species
CGGGAGGCAGCAGUGGGGAAUAUUGGACAAUCGGCGAAGCCUGAUGCAGCAAUGCCGCGUGAGUGAUGAAGGCCUUAGGGUUGUAAAGCUCUUUUACCCGGGAUGAUAAUGACCGUACCGGGAGAAUAAGCUCCGGCUAACUCCGUGCCAGCAGCCGCGGUAAUACGGAGGGAGCUAGC